AAGGUAAGGAACAAAACCCAAGUGCUGGCUUCACCGGAAACCGGCGAAAUCACGGCGAAUCGAGGCGGCGAUUCCGCGGAACUUCAAAGCUUUGAUCGGUGGCUUUCCGAUCGAUUUCCGGCGGCAAGGACGGCAUGGAUACGUUGCUCGUCUCUUAAGCUUCAAAUCGGUACCAACCUUGACCGGAACGGUGGCCGGAAAUGGGAGAACCGGCCAGGUCGCGCUCGCAGGUCGGGUUGGAUCCGGUUCGGUUUCUCUUCUCUCUUUCCUUUCUCUCUCUCUCUCUCUCUCAAUUUAUAUGGGUGGUCAACAGGGUCAAAAUCAGGUGUGGGGUAUUACAAACUCCCCCCCUACAAAGAAUUUCGUCCUCGAAAUUCACUUGUAGUCAUGCUCACAGAAUUUAAACCUCAAGAAUUACUUAUGAUCUAUAAAUCCUUAUAAAGAUCAAAACCAACCAUAUCACACUGUCACUGCGCUACUCUGAUACCUCAAAAAUAUAUCGUUCUUAGUAACAGAAUCACAAGUCCUAACGGUUUGGCAUAGACUUAAUUCUAAUCGUCCUUGAAAUAUAUUUCCCAAGCGAUGGCGAAUGUGACUUCCAUCCGCACAUUUUCAGUUGGGAAUGCUCUGAUACCAUUUGUAACGACCCGUCCCGACCUCCACAGGGCGAAUCUUACUGAUAGAUGUUUAAAAAUAAAAUAAUAAUAAAUAAGAAUAAUCCUUUUACAAUCCAUAAAAAUCAUAUCCUUGAAAAUACAAAUAUAAAACGCAAACUGCAGUGGAAGAAUUUAAAAUUCAUGCCAAACCAUCUAAUUUCUCCAUUUAAGUUCUUCUCGACGCUCAUCACGAAUCAAUCCUGAUUUACAGAAACUGAAUCACAAUAAAGUAUAAUGAGUACGAAACUCAGUAAGUAAACUAGUUUUGCAUAUACCAAAAUACAUACAUACAUAUAUAUAGUGCACAUGAAUGACGUGCCAUGAUAUUCGAAAACAUCGUAAAACAAAUCAUCGAAAUCUCAUUCUGUCUUUCUCAAACUUUCACAAUCUCUUUCAAAUCACUUACUUGAGCUACCUUCAUUCAAUUACCGCUUAGUAGGACACUCUCUUAACUUUUAUAACUUUCAUACUCUUUGGGCUUCUCGCCAAUGCGUCCUUCACCCACUUAUCUCAUAACUAUAUAAACAUCAACGGCAAAACGACGUCCCCGGCGUCAGUGGUUAGUCGGAAAUGGCAGAGGAAAAGGUAAGGAACAAAACCCAAGUGCUGGCUUCACCGGAAACCGGCGAAAUCACGGCGAAUCGAGGCGGCGAUUCCGCGGAACUUCAAAGCUUUGAUCGGUGGCUUUCCGAUCGAUUUCCAGCGGUAAGGACGGCAUGGAUACGUUGCUCGUCUCUCAAGCUUCAAAUCGGUACCAACCUUGACCGGAACGGUGGCCGGAAAUAGGAGAACCGGCCGGGUCGUGCUCGCAGGUCGGGUUGGAUCCGGUUCGGUUUCUC
rnacentral:lncRNA from 1 species